GACGAACGCUGGCGGCGUGCUUAACACAUGCAAGUCGAACGGAAAGGCCCUGCUUUUGUGGGGGGCUCGAUUACCGAACGGGUGAUUAACACGUGAGUAACCUGCCCUUGACUUUGGGAUAACUUCAGGGAACUGGGGCUAAUACCGGAUAGUAGCUCCUGCUGCAUUGUGGGGGUUGUAGAGUUUCGGCGGUUGGGGAUGGAUUCGCGGCUUAUCAGCUUGUUGGUGGGGUAGUGGCUUACCAAGGCUUUGACUGGUAGCCGGCCUGGGAGGGUGACCGGCCACAUUGGGACUGAGCUGAGGCACAGACUCAUACGGGAGGCAGCAGUGGGGAAUAUUGCACAAUGGGCGGAAGGCUGAUGCAGCACCGCCGCGUGGGGGAUGACGGCCUUCGGGUUGUAAACCGCUUUUGCCUGUGACGAAGAGUGAGUGACGGUAAUGGGUAAAGAAGCCCCGGCUAACUACGUG
rnacentral:rRNA from 1 species